rnacentral:misc_RNA from 1 species
GAUAAGAACGCAGCGAAAUGCGAUAACUAAUGUGAAUUGCAGAAUUCCGUGAAUCAUCGAGUCUUUGAACGCACAUUGCGCCCCCUGGUAUUCCGGGGGGCAUGCCUGUCCGAGCGUCAUUGCUGCCCAUCAAGCACGGCUUGUGUGUUGGGUCCUCGUCCCCCCCGGGGGACGUGCCCGAAAGGCAGCGGCGGCACCGCGUCCGGUCCUCGAGCGUAUGGGGCUUUGUCACCCGCUCUGCAGGCCCGGCCGGCGCUGGCCGACGCGAAAGCAACCAUUUUUUCUCCAGGUUGACCUCGGAUCAGGUAGGGAUACCCGCUGAACUUAAGCAUAUCAAUAAGCGGAGGA